UGUAAACUCCACACCAGUCUCAUGAUUAUCUGGGGUUAAGCUUAAGAGGUCGCACACAGGGCUGACAUCAGAGAGAGAGACAGUGGAGGCCCCGUGGAUCAGUGGUGUCUGACCCUAUGAAUACCGAGGCCUGAGUUAUCAAAGCCCUUCUUUUUCCUGUCACACUUGAACCCUUUUCUUUGGCCUUCGAAGUUGAGUCCCUUUUCCCCUCACCCUUCUCCCUGUUCCUGCUGCCAUCCCGUGAUCUUCAAUAAACACAGCUACUCAUUACCUACUCUAAGGUGCACCCUUGGCCAGUCUUUCCUUGUCGUACACAAGAACCUGGACUAUUUUUAGCCUGCUCAACUGUAACAUCUGGCGAGCGAGCCAGGAGGACUCUACAAAUCUUGGGAGACCUCACCAGACACCAGAGGUGUCAGCAACCCAGAGACCUUCGGAGGCCUCGGCAGAAGCAGGCAACCAGACAAUGCAGCCAGCAAGGAAGGUCAUCUAAAAGAAAAAUAUUCUGUUAAGAUAACUAAAUGCGGACCUUUUGGGCUUGAGAAAACUGCUGGACAAGACUUCCCUUGGUGAAUAAAGGAGCACCUGCCUGGAGACAUUUAUGCCUUGUCAUACUCAAGAACCUAGACUAUUUUUGGCUCACUCAACUGUAACAGUCUGAAUAUAGUUUCCAAAUGUAACUAGCAAAUCAAUUUGGAGAGAAGACAAAAAUGUUUGGUCACUGGAGCAGUGCUAAUGGUACUGAGGAUCGAACUCGGGACCUUGCGCUUGUGAGGCAGGUGCCAGAACCACUGAGCUAAAUCCCCGGCCCCAAAACUAGUAUAUCAUUUCCAUGAUGUCAAAAAAAAGACUCAAUUUAUUAACUCACAGAAGACAAUGAAAAUGCCUUUCAUCGCAAAGUUGAUCUGCAAGUGGACCUUUGUACUUCUAACUGGCAGAAGCGCCUGACACGAGUGCCACAGCAGAUGUGCAGAGGUUGCUACCAUUUGACAUCAGGUCCUAACGAGCUGGGUAGAGGAAGGUGUAGGAGGCUGCGCAGUAUAGCGCUCUUCUGUCACGUGUGGACCAUCACCCAUGUGGUUCUACAUUCGGGAACCUAAGUGUUACCUUGACUCUAAUCCAUCAACAAGUUUUGAUUUUACUCUUCAAUUUCUCUUAAGUCCAUCUACUUCUUUUCCACCACUGUCCUAGUCUAUGCCUCCAUCGUCUCUUUCUUGAAAGACAAUAGUUACUCCUAGCUGAACUCUUCUCUCCCUUACUAGCCAUUUCUCCUUUCUUCUCCAGUCUGCCAAGCCUCGGUACAGUUUUCAAAAUGUAAGUUUCACUGCCCAGUCCUUUCCCUAGUCCCCUUUUUUUUUUUGUACCAGGGAUCAAACUCAGGACCUUGUGCCUACAAGGCAGGUGAUGGAACCACUGAGCUAAAUCCCCAGCCCUCUCUAGUCACCUUUUAAGUGGCUGCUUUUGCUUUUACUUCAACAGGGCUGUCAUGGGGUCUACAGUGUCUUGGGAAACGCCCCCUCCUCCUACCACCACCUGGCCUCUCCUCUGCCCACCUGCACUCUUCACUUUGCUAACUCCUACUAUCCUUCAGAUGGAGCACAUUCCUUUCUUUUCUAUAACCAUCAUUAUCACUUAAAUUUAAUUAAUGUUUAUUUGGGACUCUCAGUUCCAUAAGGGCAGGAAAUGUCUGUUUUGGCUGCAUUGAAUCUCCAUCAAAGAUUAAAUGAAUGAGUAUCUUUAGUACAUUACUGUAUUUUAAAAUACAUACAAGUUUGUACUGCAAC
rnacentral:lncRNA from 1 species